rnacentral:misc_RNA from 1 species
GAUGAAGAACGUAGCGAAAUGCGAUAAGUAAUGUGAAUUGCAGAAUUCAGUGAAUCAUCGAAUCUUUGAACGCACAUUGCGCCCCUUGGUAUUCCGAGGGGCAUGCCUGUUCGAGCGUCAUUAUAACCCCUCAAGCUCAGCUUGGUGUUGGGGCCUGCUGCACUGGCAGCCCUUAAAAUCAGUGGCGGCGCCAUCUGGCUCUAAGCGUAGUAAUUCUUCUCGCUAUGGAGUCCUGGUGGAUGCUUGCCAUCAACCCUCAAUUUUUCUAUGGUUGACCUCGGAUCAGGUAGGGAUACCCGCUGAACUUAAGCAUAUCAAUAAGCGGAGGA